AUGAACGCUAGCUACAGGCUUAACACAUGCAAGUCGAGGGGCAGCAUGGUCUUAGCUUGCUAAGGCCGAUGGCGACCGGCGCACGGGUGAGUAACACGUAUCCAACCUGCCGUCUACUCUUGGACAGCCUUCUGAAAGGAAGAUUAAUACAAGAUGGCAUCAUGAGUCCGCAUGUUCACAUGAUUAAAGGUAUUCCGGUAGACGAUGGGGAUGCGUUCCAUUAGAUAGUAGGCGGGGUAACGGCCCACCUAGUCUUCGAUGGAUAGGGGUUCUGAGAGGAAGGUCCCCCACAUUGGAACUGAGACACGGUCCAAACUCCUACGGGAGGCAGCAGUGAGGAAUAUUGGUCAAUGGGCGAGAGCCUGAACCAGCCAAGUAGCGUGAAGGAUGACUGCCCUAUGGGUUGUAAACUUCUUUUAUAAAGGAAUAAAGUCGGGUAUGGAUACCCGUUUGCAUGUACUUUAUGAAUAAGGAUCGGCUAACUCCGUGCCAGCAGCCGCGGUAAUACGGAGGAUCCGAGCGUUAUCCGGAUUUAUUGGGUUUAAAGGGAGCGUAGAUGGAUGUUUAAGUCAGUUGUGAAAGUUUGCGGCUCAACCGUAAAAUUGCAGUUGAUACUGGAUAUCUUGAGUGCAGUUGAGGCAGGCGGAAUUCGUGGUGUAGCGGUGAAAUGCUUAGAUAUCACGAAGAACUCCGAUUGCGAAGGCAGCCUGCUAAGCUGCAACUGACAUUGAGGCUCGAAAGUGUGGGUAUCAAACAGGAUUAGAUACCCUGGUAGUCCACACGGUAAACGAUGAAUACUCGCUGUUUGCGAUAUGCGGCAAGCGGCCAAGCGAAAGCGUUAAGUAUUCCACCUGGGGAGUACGCCGGCAACGGUGAAACUCAAAGGAAUUGACGGGGGCCCGCACAAGCAGUGGAGUAUGUGGUUUAAUUCGAAGCAACGCGAAGAACCUUACCAGGUCUUGACAUCCAACUAACGAAGUAGAGAUACAUUAGGUGCCCUUCGGGGAAAGUAGAGACAGGUGGUGCAUGGUUGUCGUCAGCUCGUGCCGUGAGGUGUCGGCUUAAGUGCCAUAACGAGCGCAACCCUUGUUGUCAGUUACUAACAGGAUUUGCUGAGGACUCUGACAAGACUGCCAUCGUAAGAUGUGAGGAAGGUGGGGAUGACGUCAAAUCAGCACGGCCCUUACGUCCGGGGCUACACACGUGUUACAAUGGGGGGUACAGAGGGCCGCUACCACGCGAGUGGAUGCCAAUCCCCAAAACCUCUCUCAGUUCGGACUGGAGUCUGCAACCCGACUCCACGAAGCUGGAUUCGCUAGUAAUCGCGCAUCAGCCACGGCGCGGUGAAUACGUUCCCGGGCCUUGUACACACCGCCCGUCAAGCCAUGGGAGCCGGGGGUACCUGAAGUGCGUAACCGCGAGGAGCGCCCUAGGGUAAAACUGGUGACUGGGGCU
rnacentral:rRNA from 1 species